AACGUAAGGGCACGAGAAAAGCGUGCCCACCCCGUAACCAGUUGGAAGCUGAAAAUGUCGACCGAGACCAAAAAAAGAGAACCAAUUUAGCAGUUAGCCAGCUUUAACGAUUAUCGAGCUGGGCAGGAUUUAGGGCUUGUAGCUCAGCUGGUAGAGCGCUGCCUUUGCAAGGCAGAGGCCCUGGGUCCGAAUCCCAGCAAGUCCAUUUAAAAACCAAAUGUAUGCACACAUCAAGGCAGACUCGAUGUGGAAGGGUGGAGGUCCGUUUUUCCGCAAAAAGACGGUCCGAAGAAACCGUGUACAAGCUUUGCGACCAGACGCUCACUGAGUUUAGUGGGGCAUA
rnacentral:tRNA from 1 species